rnacentral:rRNA from 1 species
UACGGAGGGUGCGAGCCGUUGUCCGGAAUCAUUGGGCGUAAAGGGCGCGUAGGUGGCCUGCUAAGCGUGACCGGUGAAAGGCUCGGGGCUCAACCCCGGAGUCGGCCGUGCGAACUGGUGGGCUUGAGCACUGUAGAGGCAGGCGGAAUUCCGGGUGUAGUGGUGGAAUGCGUAGAGAUCCGGAGGAACACCAGCGGCGAAGGCGGACAUCCUGGACUGGUCCUGACACUCGAUGAGCGAAAGCGUGGGGAGCGAUCCGG